CCCUCGAUAGCUCAGGGGUAGAGCAGUGGACUGUAGAUCCAAUGGUCGCUGGUUCAAAUCCGGCUCGAGGGA
rnacentral:tRNA from 1 species